rnacentral:ncRNA from 1 species
AAAAUACAAGAUAGAGGGAGCUAGGCAGAAAUAAUAUUUUCUCAAAAUUUAUUUCGUUGUAUCCCCAGCUUGCUUAGCUUGUAGAAUUUCUUAAUGAAAUUCUCUUUGCUAGGGCCCCAAUCCCCAGCUUGCUUAGCUUGUAGAAUUUCUUAAUGAAAUUCUCUUUGCUAGGGCCCCAAUCCCCAGCUUGCUUAGCUUGUAGAAUUUCUUAA